AAAGCGUGCGCAGGCGGUUUUGUAAGACUGUCGUGAAAUCCCCGGGCUCAACCUGGGAAUGGCGAUGGUGACUGCAAUGCUAGAGUUUGGCAGAGGGGGGUAGAAUUCCACGUGUAGCAGUGAAAUGCGUAGAUAUGUGGAGGAACACCGAUGGCGAAGGCAGCCCCCUGGGUCAAAACUGACGCUCAUGCACGAAAGCGUGGGGAGCAAACAGGAUUAGAUACCCGAGU
rnacentral:rRNA from 1 species